AACAAUCUAAUUAACCUAAUUCUCUAAAACCUUCAUUCACAGCUUCUCCUUCACGCUUUCUCAUUUGAGUAUUUGACAACCCUAAUACGUUUUGAUGCCGCUACAAUUCCUCUUGCUUUAAACCGCACGACGGUGGAACAUUAAGAACCUGCAAAAGCUUCAUAUCUUUGGAUCCCAAAACCAUCGAUUCUUUGUCACAAACCCUAAACCUUCAUCAAAUCGGUGCAACCCUAAUCCUCUUCAUCUCCUCCACCGUCCGUGUGUGUUUCACUCAGAUUUCUUCAUCGCCAACACGAUUCCGUAUCCAGUGAUGGACUUUUACUCAGAGUUUAUUUACUAUGGCUUGAUCGUUAUGGUUUCCUCCUCAUCAAUCCUUAAUCAGGUAUUUUGCGGACAAUGGAAAGAAAACAUAAAAACAUUUCAUUUAGAGGAGAUUCAAAUUGGCUUGGGUUUAGUAAGUGUCGGAAGAGGGAUGUGUUGGGAGAUGGUGUGAUUCAGGCAUCAUUUUUAUAGCCGAUGUAGUCUAAAGAUGAAGCCCAGGCCACCGAAGGUUAGUUGGUUCAGAUGUAUUUUUGUUUCUUUAGGGUAAUGUAGCAGCAGUAGUGGGGAGCACAGACAAGGGCGUUGCAUCAGGUUACUUCAAUUUUGGUUGUGUGUUGUGUAAAAUGAUCAUCUUUUGGAUUCUAUUACUUGGUCGAUUUCAUUUGGGUUUGAUUAAGUUUUUGUCUUGACCUACAGCCUACUUUAGUGGUAUUCAUUCUUGAUUUAUGUCUGAGUUUUGCGCGGAGUUUUUUAUUUGUUUAUAAAAUCUUAAUCUUCUUCAUGAAACAAAUUGAUAAUGUUAUUUACCAAUUUACAUCAUUUUAUUGUUAAUUGUUAAAAUGGUGGAACCGAUUUAAUGUCGGGGGUUAAGAAAUUGAUUGAGAAAAUGAUAUUAGUGGCCAUUGAUUUAUUUCAAGUAUUCAAACCUAAAAAAUGAAGUGCGGAUUAUUUUCAUCGAGUUAGGCUUAAUGUUUGCUCCAACAAAGUGUUGACAGGUUACAAGUCGUGCAAAUUGAUUCUGAGAAGUAUAUGUGUCUCAAUGUGGGGCGUGGGAAGUUUAUAACUGAUUGUGAGCCAAAUAUCCAGUACUUCAGCCUGGAAAUAAUAAAAAGACUCUGUGUUAUAAGCAACAGUAUUCAUUGAGUGGGCAUGGACAUGUUUCAUUGGAUAAAAUCAAGAAAAUUGUUGCUGAAAUGGCUGGGGUGUCUAUAAAUGCGAUCAAAAUUUUCGUAUCUCCUUACAGGAUUUGCCCAUUGGGAGCUCACAUUGAUCAUCAGGUUGAUACAUAUUUCUAUUUACCAAAUCGUUUCAUAUUUUCAUAUUUCUUUCGUUUUCUUUUUAUGAAUUGAUAGGCUGGAAUAGUGUAACACCUCGAAUUUUUGCGUCCAGUAAUGUGUUAACACGUGUCAUUUGUUUACACGUGGCAUUAAUAUUGAAUAAAGGAUUAAUUUUGACAAA